rnacentral:tRNA from 1 species
CGUCAACAUCGCCUAUGUGGAAAACGGCGUGCCCCUGCGUGGGGUGGUCUAUGCCCCGGCCAAGGGGCGGCUGUUCUAUACGACCGCCGACGGCC